GUAGUACUUGAAUACGAUCAGCAUCCAGCUUUGUCAACAACUUAGAAGCAGAAUCCAGAACUUUUCCGAUAAAUUAAGGAUCCUGAGAUGAAGAGAUGAUCCUGGAUUAUCCAGGUGCACCCAAUGUAAUCCCAAGUGUCCAGAUAAGAAAGAAGCAGAAAAGUCAGAGUCAGAGAAGGAGAUGUGACCAUGGAAGCGGGGUCCUGCUUAUGUGACUGAAGAUUGAGAAUGGGCCAGGAGCCAAGGAAUACAGGUAGCCUCUAGAAGCCAGAAAACACAAGGGAACAGACUUUCUAGUGCACCCUCUCAAGGGAACACAGCCCCAGAUUUUAUUCCAGCGAAAACCAUUGAAAACUUUUGUCCUCCAGAACCAUAAGAUAAAUUUGAAAGAUAAUAUAAAUUUGCAUUAUAUUAAGCCACUGUUUGUUAAUUUUUCAUAGCAAUAGGUAACUAAUACUGAUAGUUGAUGAGAAUAAGUUUUUAGAAAUGCAAUUUCUAUACAGAACAGGAAAAUAAAUAAAAAGCAUUAUCUUAAGCAAUAAUAACUACAUUAUAUCAAAAAUAUACAUUUACUUACUCAAUGCUGAAUAACUAUAUGUUGACUAAUGUUUAAUCAUGAUGACCUAUUAUUUUUGAAUUCCAUCUCUCUAAAUUUAGUUUUUGACCUUACAUGAGUUAUUUACCACCUGUGUACUUGAGAUUCCUUUUAUUAUACAAUGGACAGAAUAGUUAUCAAAAGGGGUAGAAAAGUUCUUGCACAUUGAAAACAAUAAAUAUAUGUUACUCAUCAAUUUGUUUAACAAAAUCAUUGCUGG
rnacentral:lncRNA from 10 species